ACUCCUGUGGCCUAGUGGUUAGAGUAUCUGCAUUGGAUGCAGGAAGUUGUGGGUUCAAAACCCAGCUGAGUUGUA